rnacentral:piRNA from 1 species
AGCCAGGUUCAAACCUAGUCAAGGGUGGG